ACAUGAAGCGAUGAAUACCCCAAAAUGAUGCAAUCUGAGUGACCACCAAUGUAACUGAUCUGAACCCACAUACCCUUGUUCCGAUGAUAGCUGACCUCUUAAACAGAAGAUCCCUCGGAUCACUCACUUCCCUCCAAGAAGACUCUUUAUCAAAUUUUAACGAUGCCUUUACCAUAUAUGGGCAUCCGAAAGUCAAAGGAGUCAUAAAAGCUUUCGAGCUGCUACAAGUUAUACAGCUGCCAGACUACAGAACAGCCCUGAAACUCAGAGCUAUCCAGCGGAAAAUGCAAUUACACAGGGUAGAUGCUAGAGACAUAGUAGCAGUGAUGGGAGACACAGGACUAC